rnacentral:other from 1 species
UUUUUACUGCGUGGUUCGUUACUGAACGCAAUAAUAAUUGAGCCAACACUUGAAUUGAGGGAGGCUAAUGCCAGUUCCGGUGCAAGUCGUCCACGUGACGGACUGCCAUAGGGAUCGGCUAUGAUGUUUCGAAAGGAACAGAUCGCCGCCCACCUGUUAUAAGCAGGUUCAAUUCAGGCGUUUGGAACGGCUUCUGCGGUAGCCUC